ACUCAAAUGAAUUGACGGGGGCUCACACAAGCGGUGGAGCAUGUGGCUCAAUUCGAAGCAACGCGAAGAACCUUAUCCUGGACUUGACAUGGUAGAAGUACGAAGUGGAAACACUUAGGACCGGUAUCCAAUCCGGAACUAUCACAGGUGCUGCAUGGCUGUCGUCAGCUCGUGCUGUGAAGUGUCGGGUUAAGUCCCAUAACGAGCGAAACCCCUAUCGUUAGUUGCCAGCAUGUAAUGGUGGGCACUCUAACGAGACUGCCGGUGUUAAACCGGAGGAAGGCGGGGAUGACGUCAAGUCCUCAUGGCCUUUAUGUCCAGGGCUGCACACGUGCUACAAUGCCGAUGACAAACCGAAGCAAGACCGCAAGGUGGAGCAAAUCGGAGAAAAAUCGGCCCAGUUCAGAUUGAGGGCUGCAACUCGCCCUCAUGAAGUUGGAAUCGCUAGUAAUCGCGGAUCAGCUAUGCCGCGGUGAAUGUGUUCCUGAGCCUUGUACACACCGCCCGU
rnacentral:rRNA from 1 species